CCGACCUUAGCUCAGUUGGUAGAGCGGAGGACUGUAGUGAUUGCAGAAAAAUCCUUAGGUCGCUGGUUCGAAUCCGGCAGGUCGGA
rnacentral:tRNA from 2 species